AUCCUCUCAAGUUCCCUGGGCGUUCUAUGUUAUUUAAAAUGCUCCUCUCCUUAGACAUAGCCUGGAAAAGCUUGCCACCCCUCCCUCCCAUAAAGGAUCCCCUUAGAAGAAGACAGCAUCUCUUCCAAAAACCCACCUCUUUUGCAGUUAUUUUAUGCCUCCAAUGACCUGUCCAUCAUGUGCUGUCUUAGAUUUAUAUACUUCUCUUAUCAAGCUUGGGAGGAGGGCCUGAGGGACCUGGUCUGGAGGUUUUUGAUUGAGGAAUGAUGAGUGAUAGAAGGGAGAGGUGUUGGAAGGAAGAGGGAAAGUUGGUGUUAGGAAUGAAGACUGAUCCAAGAUCCUUCAUAACUCAUUUCCCAUUUAAAACUGGAGAGGAGGAGGAGAAAAAAAAAUGAAUGUUUAGUCCUUCCUACUCCUACUCGCAUUCAUUUUAUCUUUAUUGAGGGAUCUCGGACCAGGCUUCAUUCCACACACCUUGCUUUCUGGUGCAAAGUAAUCUGAGGUUACAGGUUAUGUUCCUAGUUGGCCUUGGAUUGAAUACUAAAACAAACGUUUUUCCCGGCUUCUUGUUGCUCUACUCUCUUUUCCUUGAGCAAAAUGGAGGGAGAGCCACCAUAUAUUUUCAUCGAUAGGAGGAAAUGGUCUCAGUCUGUGGAUGCUACACUUCAACCAAUUGUGAGCACGUCACCAAACGAAACCAGAUCUGUAAAGAAAUUCCUAUCGCGUAUCCUGAAUAAAUUUAGCAAGAUCAAAUUGGAUUCUUCCAUGCCUAACCAUAUCUCUACUUUGUAGAACUUCAUUCGAUGUCAAAUAUGUUUCUGAAACAUCACUGUGCAUCUUAGAGUCAUCCUUAACACGAUCCAUCCAUUUACAUUGUAAAACAACGAUUACUAAUCUAUCUAAAGAACUAGCAGUAUUUAAGCUCGUAGUACGCUGAAAAUAUGCUUGCUAAUUACAGAAGAAAUAAUGCUUCCAAAUAUAAAGUUUCAGCCCUUUGACUACUGAAUUCAGCUGGUUUUUAUUUAUCAUUAUUACCAUUACUUUUUUAAACUUUGUCUGCUUAACUUCAGUGGCUGCUAUACAGAGUGAGAAAAGGCUUCCUGUUGUGCAACUCUUUAGAUUUGAGAUACCACGUUCCCUGUAAUGGAUCUCAGCAUGUCCUCGUGGAGCCCUGGUCGCUCUAUGAGCACUGAAGUUUACAUUUCCUGGUGGCCUUUAUAGGGUUUUAAUGAGUGCAAAUUUGACACUCAGUGCUAAAUUCCACACCAUUUGAACAACAUGUUGUACUCUUCAGCUUUUUCAUUCUGAAUGGUCUGAUUUCAGCUUUUCUACUAAGGCUGCACACUGACCUCAAUAAUUGCCAUGUACAGAGAAAAAGAUAUAUUAAUUACAACUUAUGCUUGGUUUUUAA